GCGAGGUGAAGCAGAAUCAGCACAGUCUCUCAGUGUCAUAACCGGACAUGGGGUUGACCAUUGUAACACCAACCAUAAUCACCUACAGGGCACUUUCCGGGCCCUCUGUGCGAUGAACUGGACCUGGCAGCAUUGGCUGUUGCACGUGAUUGGGUACACAGACUGAUGCCAUGAAAACAACUGCCAACAAAUCAAUUAUUUAUUGCAUCAAGGCUGCUAUUCACCACACAUGUAAGAUCUCUAAUGUCAAGAGCAGUUAUUCUUGAGUGACUCCUGUUCUAGAUGCUGUCAAUGAAGAUGGUAUAGCCCAACGUUCAUACACCAUUGUAUCCCUACUGUAUCUUUUGUGUCUGGUGCUUUGUUUGCAAGAUGACUAAGAAUACAAUAGGGCAAUCUUGACAAUUGUAGUAAAACUGACAAAAAUAUUUAGG